AUGCAAGUCGAACGAAACUUCUUUAUCACCGAGUGCUUGCACUCACCGAUAAAGAGUUGAGUGGCGAACGGGUGAGUAACACGUGGGCAACCUGCCCAAAAGAGGGGGAUAACACUUGGAAACAGGUGCUAAUACCGCAUAACCAUAGUUACCGCAUGGUAACUAUGUAAAAGGUGGCUAUGCUACCGCUUUUGGAUGGGCCCGCGGCGCAUUAGCUAGUUGGUGAGGUAAAGGCUUACCAAGGCAAUGAUGCGUAGCCGAACUGAGAGGUUGAUCGGCCACAUUGGGACUGAGACACGGCCCAAACUCCUACGGGAGGCAGCAGUAGGGAAUCUUCCACAAUGGGCGAAAGCCUGAUGGAGCAACGCCGCGUGGGUGAAGAAGGUCUUCGGAUCGUAAAACCCUGUUGUUAGAGAAGAAAGUGCGUGAGAGUAACUGUUCACGUUUCGACGGUAUCUAACCAGAAAGCCACGGCUAACUACGUGCCAGCAGCCGCGGUAAUACGUAGGUGGCAAGCGUUAUCCGGAUUUAUUGGGCGUAAAGGGAACGCAGGCGGUCUUUUAAGUCUGAUGUGAAAGCCUUCGGCUUAACCGGAGUAGUGCAUUGGAAACUGGGAGACUUGAGUGCAGAAGAGGAGAGUGGAACUCCAUGUGUAGCGGUGAAAUGCGUAGAUAUAUGGAAGAACACCAGUGGCGAAAGCGGCUCUCUGGUCUGUAACUGACGCUGAGGUUCGAAAGCGUGGGUAGCAAACAGGAUUAGAUACCCUGGUAGUCCACGCCGUAAACGAUGAAUGCUAAGUGUUGGAGGGUUUCCGCCCUUCAGUGCUGCAGCUAACGCAAUAAGCAUUCCGCCUGGGGAGUACGACCGCAAGGUUGAAACUCAAAGGAAUUGACGGGGGCCCGCACAAGCGGUGGAGCAUGUGGUUUAAUUCGAAGCAACGCGAAGAACCUUACCAGGUCUUGACAUCUUCUGACAAUCCUAGAGAUAGGACUUUCCCUUCGGGGACAGAAUGACAGGUGGUGCAUGGUUGUCGUCAGCUCGUGUCGUGAGAUGUUGGGUUAAGUCCCGCAACGAGCGCAACCCUUAUUGUUAGUUGCCAGCAUUAAGUUGGGCACUCUAGCAAGACUGCCGGUGACAAACCGGAGGAAGGUGGGGAUGACGUCAAAUCAUCAUGCCCCUUAUGACCUGGGCUACACACGUGCUACAAUGGACGGUACAACGAGUCGCAAGACCGCGAGGUUUAGCAAAUCUCUUAAAGCCGUUCUCAGUUCGGAUUGUAGGCUGCAACUCGCCUACAUGAAGUCGGAAUCGCUAGUAAUCGCGGAUCAGCAUGCCGCGGUGAAUACGUUCCCGGGCCUUGUACACACCGCCCGUCACACCAUGAGAGUUUGUAACACCCAAAGCCGGUGGGGUAACCUUUUGGAGCCAGCCGUC
rnacentral:rRNA from 1 species